rnacentral:rRNA from 1 species
GCGAGUCUGAAUAGGGCGUUUAGUAUUUGGUCGUAGACCCGAAACCAGGUGAUCUACCCUUGGUCAGGUUGAAGUUCAGGUAACACUGAAUGGAGGACCGAACCGACUUACGUUGAAAAGUGAGCGGAUGAACUGAGGGUAGCGGAGAAAUUCCAAUCGAACCUGGAGAUAGCUGGUUCUCUCCGAAAUAGCUUUAGGGCUAGCCUCAAGUGAUGAUUAUUGGAGGUAGAGCACUGUUUGGACGAGGGGCCCCUCUCGGGUUACCGAAUUCAGACAAACUCCGAAUGCCAAUUAAUUUAACUUGGGAGUCAGAACAUGGGUGAUAAGGUCCGUGUUCGAAAGGGAAACAGCCCAGACCACCAGCUAAGGUCCCAAAAUAUAUGUUAAGUGGAAAAGGAUGUGGCGUUGCCCAGACAACUAGGAUGUUGGCUUAGAAGCAGCCAUCAUUUAAAGAGUGCGUAAUAGCUCACUAGUCGAGUGACACUGCGCCGAAAAUGUACCGGGGCUAAACAUAUUACCGAAGCUGUGGAUUGUCCUUUGGACAAUGGUAGGAGAGCGUUCUAAGGGCGUUGAAGCAUGAUCGUAAGGACAUGUGGAGCGCUUAGAAGUGAGAAUGCCGGUGUGAGUAGCGAAAGACGGGUGAGAAUCCCGUCCACCGAUUGACUAAGGUUUCCAGAGGAAGGCUCGUCCGCUCUGGGUUAGUCGGGUCCUAAGCUGAGGCCGACAGGCGUAGGCGAUGGAUAA